rnacentral:tRNA from 1 species
GGUCGCUUGGUCUAGUGGCAUGAUUCGUGCCUAGGGCGCACGAGGUUGUGGGUUCGAUUCCCGCAGUGACCC